GGAAGGGUGCAAGAGUGGUUUAAUUGGCACGCUUGGAAAGCGUGUGUGGGGCAACUCACCGAGGGUUCGAAUCCCUCCUCUUCCG
rnacentral:tRNA from 1 species